ACUCAUAUCUUGCAGGGGAAGUACCAUGUUAUAAAAGUGGUUUUCUUGGGUGAGGCUCAUCCAUUGCACUUUGGGUGUGCUGAUCCCUAUGAUUUCCUCAAAUGUGGGGAACUCAGCUGCAUAAUUUGUGUUAAUGGGAGAUUGUGUUUGUAAUUUCCCU
rnacentral:snRNA from 1 species